ACGGGUGAGUAACACGUGAGCAACCUGCCCUUGGCUUUGGGAUAACCCUCGGAAACGGGGGCUAAUACCGGAUAUGCACUGACUGUCGCAUGGUGGUUGGUGGAAAGUUUUUCGGCUGAGGAUGGGCUCGCGGCCUAUCAGCUUGUUGGUGGGGUGAUGGCCUACCAAGGCGACGACGGGUAGCCGGCCUGAGAGGGCGACCGGCCACACUGGGACUGAGACACGGCCCAGACUCCUACGGGAGGCAGCAGUGGGGAAUAUUGCACAAUGGGCGCAAGCCUGAUGCAGCGACGCCGCGUGAGGGAUGACGGCCUUCGGGUUGUAAACCUCUUUCAGCAGGGACGAAGGGUGACUGACGGUACCUGCAGAAGAAGCGCCGGCCAACUACGUGCCAGCAGCCGCGGUAAGACGUAGGGCGCGAGCGUUGUCCGGAUUUAUUGGGCGUAAAGAGCUCGUAGGCGGCUUGUCGCGUCGACUGUGAAAACCCGCGGCUCAACCGUGUGGUCUGCAGUCGAUACGGGCAGGCCAGAGUUCGGUAGGGGAGACUGGAAUUCCUGGUGUAGCGGUGAAAUGCGCAGA
rnacentral:rRNA from 1 species